rnacentral:rRNA from 1 species
GUAAACGAUGAAUACUAGGUGUGGGGGGACUGACCCCUUCCGUGCCGCAGCUAACGCAAUAAGUAUUCCACCUGGGGAGUACGGCCGCAAGGUUGAAACUCAAAGGAAUUGACGGGGGCCCGCACAAGCGGUGGAUUAUGUGGUUUAAUUCGAAGCAACGCGAAGAACCUUACCAGGGCUUGACAUCCUGCUAACGAGGUAGAGAUACGUCAGGUGCCCUUCGGGGAAAGCAGAGACAGGUGGUGCAUGGUUGUCGUCAGCUCGUGUCGUGAGAUGUUGGGUUAAGUCCCGCAACGAGCGCAACCCUUAUUGUUAGUUGCUACGCAAGAGCACUCUAGCGAGACUGCCGUUGACAAAACGGAGGAAGGUGGGGACGACGUCAAAUCAUCAUGCCCCUUAUGUCCUGGGCUACACACGUAAUACAAUGGCGGUCAACAGAGGGAGGCUAAUCCGCGAGGAGGAGCAAAUCCCCAAAAGCCGUCUCAGUUCGGAU